AGUCAUAGAAAGAAUAUACUUUUAGAGAGAGAAACUUAUGGAGAUAGAAAGUGAUAUUUUUUAGAGAGAAAGAAGAGAGAGAAACUAGAGAGAAAGUGGAGAUUCAAGCUCAGAGAAGGGAGAGAGAGAAGAGAAAUUAACACUCUCUCUUCUUUCCUUUUUUUCUUUUCUUUUUCUUUUUUCUUUUUUUCUUUUUUCUUUCUUUUCUUUUUUUCUUCUUUUCUUCUCUUUCUUCCAUGGUGAAAUAGGGGAUUUGUUUCCCUCUUUUCUCUCAGAAUAGGUUAGCACUACCGUCGGCACGGUUGUGACCAACAAUGGUAGGGCUAUGAUAAUGUGGCCCAA
rnacentral:lncRNA from 1 species